UUCCCUUUGAGUUGUUGAUUGUUUUAUUCAUUGUUGACUAAACUCUACUCUCAUUGACUAAGUUUGAUACUUGUCAAUAGUAACCCAAAACUGGUCAUUUUUUGGUGUCAACAUAUGUCCCUUUCAAAAAGAAGAUCCAAUUCAAUUAAACUGGAUAAUCAAAAGCCAUCAUAUGGCUUCUUGUCAUUGGCAAAUUUGACUGAAUUGCCUCUUGAAUUGUUUUCUUGAAAAUAACAUAAAUAACUAUGUCAUGGUAGAAAUACUCAGCUCC
rnacentral:lncRNA from 1 species